GACAGAGGGUGCAAACGUUGUUCGGAAUUACUGGGCGUAAAGCGAGUGUAGGCGGUUUGGUAAGUCGGAUGUGAAAGCCCCGGGCUCAACCCGGGAAGUGCACUCGAUACUGCCAAGCUAGAGUAUCGGAGAGGUUGGUGGAAUUCUCGGUGUAGAGGUGAAAUUCGUAGAUAUCGAGAGGAACAUCGGUGGCGAAGGCGGCCUUCUGGACAGCGACUGACGCUGAGACGCGAAAGCGUGGGGAGCAAACAGG
rnacentral:rRNA from 1 species